rnacentral:rRNA from 1 species
UACUAAUGCAACUGCGAAUAGCUGUUUAAUACAGUCGUAAUUGUAUUGACUUAGUAUAAUGUUAAUAAUAGUUAUUUAUAGGAUAACUAAGGGAAAGUUUGGCUAAUACGUUUUAACAGUAUUAUAAUUCUUAAUACACAUAUAAUAAUAUUAUAAUAUGAUAAAUAUUAUAUAAAUAUUUUAAUACAUUUAUUUGUAUUAAUAUAUAGAGUUGACUUUAUAAUAUUUAUUUAUUAUAAAGCAUGUCAAACAAGCAUCUAUAGCAUCAAGUCACAAUGUUGGCAUGUGUAUUAUUGAACCUUCAAAGCAUUUACGCAUUCGGAGGAGUAGUUUCUGAUCCCGUCGAAGGUGCCUGAGAGACGGCACUUAGUUCUAAGGAACGCAGCAGGCGCGUAAAUUGCCCAAUGACAAAACAUGUUAUAAUAAAAUAUAUAAUGUAUAUAUAUUGAAUACUCAAUAUUUAAUUGAGGCAGUGACAAGCUGUAAAGAUUGAAUAUAUUAAUUAAGAUAACAUUUGGAAUUGUCGUUUUAUAAUAUUUUUUAAUAUUAUAUUACUUGAUAAUAUACCAAUGUUAUAAAAUAUUCAAUUUGAAUGCGGUGAAUGUAAUAAUUUCAAGUAACAUGUAUAAAAUAUUUAUAUUUUAUUAGUUAUCUGAAUUUUCAAGUGGAGGGCAAGUCUGGUGCCAGCAGCCGCGGUAAUACCAGCUCCACUAGCUUAUACAAUCAUUGUUGCGGUUAAGAGGCUCGUAGUUGGAUUGAAUAAAACAUAUAUACACAAUACUGUGAACAAACCAGAGUGUAUAAAACAUGUAAUAUAUUAUAUAUUUAGCAAUGAAUGUUUUAUCAUGGAAUAUUGCUAUAAUGAAUAUUAAUAUCGAUGGAGAUAGUUGGAGUUAAGAGUACUGAUAGGCGAGCGGUGAAAUGCAUUGACCCUAUUAAGACUAACAAAAGCGAAAGCACUUAACUAGAUUAUUCUCUUUGUAUUAUUUUACAAUGAAGAGCGAAGGUUGGGGGAACAAAGAGGAUCAGAUACCCUCGUAGUCCUAUUUUUACAUCAAACUAUGGGAUUUCAUUCACACUAAACACUAAACAUUAUAAUUAUAAUUAUGAUUGAGUAUAUGUCAAAAUAUUACUCUCAUAUUAAAUAAUUAUUAUAUAUAUGAUUAUAUGUACUUUGAGCUCAUAUAAUUAUAUAGGUGAGAUGUAAGCAUUAUAAAGUGAAUAAUAUACAAGUAAUAUUGUAUUAUUAUGAUCUUUAAAAUAAAAAAUGUAAUGUGAUGCACGUUUUAGGUACGAGCUUACUAUAGAAAUAUUUAAAAUAAUACCCUCCUGGGGUAGUAUGCACGCAAGUGUGAAACUUGAAGGAAUUGACGGAAGGGCACCACAAGAACGCGUGGAGCAUGUGGCUUAAUUUGACUCAACCCGGGAAAUCUUACCAGGUCCAGACAUAUUGAGGAUUGACAGGCGAUAGUAUAUAAUUCAUUUAUAUGCAUAAAAAUGAUAGUCCUUUCAUGAUUAUAUGAUAGGUGGUGCAUGGCCGUUCUUAGUUCGUGGAGUGAUUUGUCUGCUUAAUUGCGUUUCAGUAAAUAAAAUAUAUAAUAUAUUAUAAUAUUUAGUUCUGCCUUGAAUAUUAUUCAAGGAUUUAAAGUGAACAUAUUAUAUAUAUUAUUAUAUAAUAAAUGAAUGC